rnacentral:rRNA from 1 species
AUUGAACGCUGGCGGCAUGCCUUACACAUGCAAGUCGAACGGCAGCAUGGGUGCUUGCACCUGGUGGCGAGUGGCGAACGGGUGAGUAAUACAUCGGAACAUGUCCUGUAGUGGGGGAUAGCCCGGCGAAAGCCGGAUUAAUACCGCAUACGCACUACGGAUGAAAGCGGGGGCCCUUCGGGCCUCGCGCUAUCGGGUUGGCCGAUGGCGGAUUAGCUAGUUGGUGGGGUAAAGGCCUACCAAGGCGACGAUCAGUAGCUGGUCUGAGAGGACGACCAGCCACACUGGAACUGAGACACGGCCCAGACUCCUACGGGAGGCAGCAGUGGGGAAUUUUGGACAAUGGGCGAAAGCCUGAUCCAGCAAUGCCGCGUGUGUGAAGAAGGCCUUCGGGUUGUAAAGCCCUUUUGUCCGGAAAGAAAUCCUUGGCCCUAAUACGGUCGGGGGAUGACGGUACCGGAAGAAUAAGCACCGGCUAACUACGUG